ensembl:lncRNA
AACCAAAUAACAACUUGAGUCUAAUGACUUCCCUUCAGGUUGUGCACUCAGGGAGAUUUAAAAUCACGUUAGAAUGGCUUGAGGGAAAAAAUAACCACUCCUUUCUGCUCCUGAUAAAUGCAGCCAGCUUUGCUGGUCUGGGUUUCUUAAAUGAUCUGCAUUUACAGCAGUAUCCAUGACCCAGAGAGAGUAUCAGUGUCAGGAAUCUGCCAGUGGGAAAGUGAUUUGAAGCAGCUCUGGAGUUCAAAUGGCCACAAGCGCAAGUGCCUGCUCUGCUGUGCGCUUGCCUCCGGAAAGAGGCCAAGUCUCUCAGAACCUUUGCUGUAUCAGCCAUGCUACACCCUGAGGAUUUGGAGCUUGAGCAGUGCGAGGGAUGCAGGUGCCGUCUGCUGAGCUAUGGAAGAUUGGAGCAGGAGGAACCUGGAGAAGGCCCUGGACAGAGGCAGCCUGGCUUGGCACAAGGUGCUUCUUGGCAGAGCAUCGGUGACACUUCCUGCCACAGAUAAACACUGACUUAUCUUGAAUGUGUUGGUCAAGCAACUUGUUGCGGCACAUUAAAAUUCCUUUUCUAUGGAGAAAAAAGAAGGACAACACUCUAUCUGCUCUAAUUUUCUGCAGAUAAUUUGGUGGUAGUAAAUUCUCUCAAAGUAAGAACACAGAUGUAACCAAGAGCUGGGUCAUGCUGGGAUCAUGGUGUUGAGGGCCGCUCUUGCUUGUGAAGCUGUAUUUGAGGAAUCAUUAGGAUGCUCCUUGUUGGGUGGGGGGCAGUUCCAGAAUGUACUAUCACAUUGGGAAGUGGGUUUGAUUGCUUUUGGGGUCUUACCAGCCUUGGGGGUCUGUGAUUCAACAGUUUAGCCACUGAGAAAAUGAUUCUUUUUUUUGAGAUGGAGUCUCAAUCUGUUGCCCAGGCUGGAGUGCGAUGGUGCAAUCUCGGCUCACUUCAACCUCCGCCUCCAAGGUUCAAGCAAUUCUCCUGCCUCAGUUUCCUGAGUAGCUGGGGUUACAGGAGCCUGCCACCACGCCCAGAUAAUUUUUGUAUUUUUAGUUGAGAUGGAAUUUCAUCAUGUUGGCCAGGUUGGUCUCAAACUCCUGGCCUCAGGUGGUCCACUGACUUCCGCCUCCCAAAGUACUGGGAUUAAAGGUGUGAGCCACUGCACCCAGCUGAGAAGGUGUCUUUAAAGUAAACAAAAGGCUGAUGAUAUUGGGUUAGCAGAACUUACUAACAUUAAUAUCACUAAAGUUGGUAUACAGCCUCCCCACUGCUAAAUUUGGCUGCGGCUGGCUUUUAAUAAAAAUAAAAUAAAAUAAACAAAAACUGGAAAGGAUGAAGGAGGGCCUUGGAUCAAACAAAUUACUAAGUGGGCUUUAAUAAUUCAGUUGUGUUCUCCAAGUGACAAUUUACUCUCUCAGGCUAAGCUUCUGAGCCAGGCCAGUAGGCUUAUUGUCCUCCCUUCAGUAUCAAAAUGUGAAUACACAAUGACUGUUAGAUUUUGCAGUAGCAUAGCAUAUUUGGAGUAUAAAUUUGGGAAGAGGGAAAGGAAGAAUAUAAAGUGUAUUGCUGUUGGCACUUAAAAAGUGCAAGUUGUAGAGUCCGACAGACUGAAGUCUGAAUACAUACCCUGUCAUGUGUAGCUGUGUGAUCUUUAACAAAUUACUUAGCCUCUCUGGGUCUCACUUUUCCCUUAUGUACAAUCCUGGCAUGGAGCGUUCCUGCCUCAUAGGAUCGUUGUGAGGACUAACUGAGAUCCUGGUGUGGAGAAAAAGGCCAGUCAACGUGAGCUACUAUCCAGUGUUUUACAAGCAUUUUAAAAACAGAAGUUAAAAAAAAGCAUUUUGAUCACUUAGAGAGAAGAGUGUUAACACUUUGAGCCUUUUUUAGAUGAAUUUUUUGUCCUGUACAUUUGUAUUACAUAGUUAUGGCUAUAUUGAAUUUCGUAUCCUGCUGUUAGAGUCAGCUCAGGCUGCUAUGACAAGGUACCACAGACCGGGUGGCUUAAAUAACAGACUGACUUCUCACAGUUCUGAAGGCUGGAGUGUCUGAGAUCAAGGUGCUGGCAGAUUCACGGUCCAGUGAGAGCCUGCCUCCUGGCUCAUAGAUGGUGCUUGCUUGCGGUGUCCUCACACGGCCUUUCCUCAGUGUGUUCCUGUGGAGAGAGAGGUAUCGCUUUCUUGCUCUUCUUAUAAGGGCGCUGAUCCCAUAAUGAGGGUCUCAGUCUCAUGACUUAAUUUAAACCCAGUCACCUUCCAAAGGCCCCACCUCCUAAUACCAUCACAUUGGGGGUUAGGGUUUCAACAUAUGAAUGUUGGGGGAUGCAAACAUUCAGUUCACGACAUCUGUUUUUUGUCUUUUAAUAUUAUUAAGCCAUCAACAUUCUCCCUAUUCUUUCAAUUGUGUCCCAAAUAAAGGUCUUAUUUUUUAUCACAACUUUUAAAAUAUAUAAUUCAUAUACCAUAACUUUCAACCUUUAAGGCAUACAAUUCAAUUUUUAAAAAAUCAUAUUCAUAGAUUUGUGUACCCAUCACCAUUAUCUAAUUUUAGAACAUGGGUUUCACCCCAAAAAGAAACCUCAUCAGCUGUCACUCCCCAUUCUUUCCUUCCUCUCAGCCUCUGGCAACUGCUAAUCAACUUUCUGUCUUCAUAGAUUUUCCUAUUCUGGAUAGUUCAUGUAAGUGGAAUCAUGUUAUAUGUAGUCCUUUGUAACUUCUUUCACUUAGCUUCAUGUUUUCAAG